AGAGGCUAGCUCAGGGGUAGAGCACAUGCUCAGCAUGCAUGAGGUGUUGGGUUCGAUCCCCAGUACCUCCA
rnacentral:tRNA from 1 species